CCAGGUUCUAGAUGGCUAACGUUAGCUACUAGCCAUGCUAAAUGUAAUUACAUUCCAAACCAAGUUUUGGCACUGGUGAGCUGCUAUGUACAUCCACGAAGAAGAGACCAUAUAGCUAUAUUCAUGCAAAAACCAGCAUCUGCUCUUCUCCUGUGCAUUUGGUAGUGGUAGAGCCUGGCUGCAGUAAUACCCACAAUGACAGACUUACAACUAAUUUGUGGCCUAAAAACAUGGAGCUAGCUUUGAAGUGGGACCGGUUGAAGCGAACCGAUUGGAGUAACGUUAAGGGAACCACGGGCAUGUCUACUGUAUGUGGUGGCUUUGAUGGCUAUAAUCAGUAGAAGGCAGGAUUUGGAAUGAGACUCUGACUGAAACUGUUUUCUACCGACCUAGCAGUGCAUCACGAGUGUCAUUAGUGAUGGAGAUAAACCGGUGUCUAGCACCCAGUGUCUAGGAUGAGCCUUUUGUAUUGAGUGACCUCUUGUGUAGUCUCUGUACCUCUCCAAUCUGAAGUGCCGGUCGUAUCACAUGCAUUGGGACCAACUGGCCCGUCUCAUAAAGGCACACAGGUGUCAUUACUAAUGCCACAUACAAGAAGCAUUGAUAAAAAGUUGGACCUGGGUUUAGAGGAGGAGAACGAGGAAAUCUAUGACAAUGGAGAGGACAUGGAGGAUGAGGACUACAUCCCAGCUGAGGAUAAGGGAGAUGAUGUGUUCAUUGGGGAGCCUGAGGCUUCAGCCAGUCUGGACAAGGAAAAUAAGUUCAUUGUGUUCCAUUCCCAACUGAUUAAGCUUAUCCAAGUCUGUGUUGGGUGUGGUAAGGAGAGUCCAGGGACUAUAUAAACAGCCAGAGGAACAGCGCUCAUCACACAGAUCUCCAGACUCUGGCAGUGGGGAUGGAGAAUAUUCUACAUGGGGCCUUGAUCCUGAAGGACAUCUCACAACUAUGCCCUGACUACCGGACAUCAGGGCUAGAGGAAUACCACUUUCUGAUGCUACGCUUCUUGCCGAAGCACACCGCCUUCAAGGGAAUGCAAGCAAGAUCAUACCUUUCAGCCUUGCAUUACAAUGAGAAGAGCGGACGAGUGAAGACCAAACCCACCUACGGAAUCUGAUCUGAUCCAACAUCAGUCUUCUAAUGUCACAUUGCUAUCAACACCUGCAUUCACACCAGUCUUUCCAUGCAGGAAGCAUUGUUGUUAUCAUAUUGGUAACAUGCGGUGUCAUAAUGAUUCAAAGCCUAAAUGUUUUACAAUACGUGAGAACUUGAGUAACAUUCUAAUUCAUUUUUCUUGCUCCCUCUUCCUCUACGAACCUGAAUAGCACCUCAGUUCAACAUCUGCCUUCUUACGUCGCACUGCCACCUACACACCUGCAUCACCUAUGCUGAUUUCUGUCUGCUAGAGUAGAGCUGUUCCUCUCAUUAGGGUUUUGUUACAGAGUUGUUCUCUUGUACCGUCUGUCCUUGUUUACUUCCCAUUACUUAGCUGAGAUAAUUGGAUAAGUGUAAGCAGCACUUUGGGUCGGUAGCAAGCCUCACUCCACACCUACACACCCGCCCGCAAACUAUGUUCAUCUGACAUUGGGCUCCUUGAAACUCCUCACACCAAGUGCUGCACGUCUCAAUCAUCCAUAAAGAAAUCUAUAAAAAUAUAUACAAUUAUUUAUUGUAUUUCAAAAUGUUAUUAUUGUAUAUUAACUAUCAUUAUUAAGUGGAAUGUGACAACAACAAAAAAAGACCCAUGACAAAAGUAGUGCAUCAGUAUUGGUACAACAGGGCUCCCGAGUGGUGCAGCGGACUGAGGCACUGCAUCUCAGUGCUAGAGGCAUCACUACAGUC